AAAAAACCUGUGAUUAAGAAGAGUAGCUUUACUUAAAGCUUGCAGAGAGCGGUUGUCGGUGGAAAUACCGCAGGGGAGAGUACAGCGAAUGGACUUAUGAGGGCGGCACGAAAGCGUUUGUGAGUAGCGGCCGACGGGUUCCGUACCCGUUAUCAGAGCGGCUUAUAUGUAAGUAUAAGAAACGAGCGGUCGGUUUAUCCGGCAAUUUGGGUGGUACCGCAGGAUUCAAAGUCUUGUCCCAUAU
rnacentral:ncRNA from 1 species